GAUGAACGCUGGCGGCGUGCCUAAUACAUGCAAGUCGAGCGAACAGACGAGGAGCUUGCUCCUCUGACGUUAGCGGCGGACGGGUGAGUAACACGUGUAUAACCUACCUAUAAGACUGGGAUAACUUCGGGAAACCGGAGCUAAUACCGGAUAAUAUAUUGAACCGCAUGGUUCAAUAGUGAAAGACGGUUUUGCUGUCACUUAUAGAUGGAUCCGCGCCGCAUUAGCUAGUUGGUAAGGUAACGGCUUACCAAGGCAACGAUGCGUAGCCGACCUGAGAGGGUGAUCGGCCACACUGGAACUGAGCCACGGUCCAGACUCCUACGGGAGGCAGCAGUAGGGAAUCUUCCGCAAUGGGCGAAAGCCUGACGGAGCAACGCCGCGUGAGUGAUGAAGGUCUUCGGAUCGUAAUACUCUGUUAUUAGGGAAGAACAAAUGUGUAAGUAACUAUGCACGUCUUGACGGUACCUAAUCAGAAAGCCACGGCUAACUACGUG
rnacentral:rRNA from 1 species